GAUGAACGCUAGCUACAGGCUUAACACAUGCAAGUCGAGGGGAAACGAUAGAGAAAGCUUGCUUUUUCUAGGCGUCGACCGGCGCACGGGUGAGUAACGCGUAUCCAACCUGCCCACCACUUGGGGAUAACCUUGCGAAAGUAAGACUAAUACCCAAUGAUAUCUCUAGAGGACAUCUGAAAGGGAUUAAAGAUUUAUCGGUGAUGGAUGGGGAUGCGUCUGAUUAGCUUGUUGGCGGGGUAACGGCCCACCAAGGCUACGAUCAGUAGGGGUUCUGAGAGGAAGGUCCCCCACAUUGGAACUGAGACACGGUCCAAACUCCUACGGGAGGCAGCAGUGAGGAAUAUUGGUCAAUGGACGAGAGUCUGAACCAGCCAAGUAGCGAGCAGGAUGACGGCCCUAUGGGUUGUAAACUGCUUUUAUAAGGGAAUAAAGUGAGUCUCGUGAGACUUUUUGCAUGUACCUUAUGAAUAAGGACCGGCUAAUUCCGUGCCAGCCGCCGCCGUAA
rnacentral:rRNA from 1 species